rnacentral:rRNA from 1 species
UACGUAGGGGGGCAAGCGUUGUCCGGAUUUAUUGGGCGUAAAGAGCUCGUAGGUGGUUCGGUAAGUCGGAUGUGAAAUCUCCAGGCUCAACCUGGAGGGGUCAUUCGAUACUGCCGUGACUAGAGGUCGGUAGGGGAGUGUGGAAUUCCUGGUGGAGCGGUGAAAUGCGCAGAUAUCAGGAGGAACACCCGUAGCGAAGGCGGCGACCUGGGUAGAUACUGACGCUGAGGUGCGAAAGCGUGGGGAGCAAACGGG